ACAACUUCAUAUUAUAUAUAUCUAUAACUUCUCUCUAAAUUUUUCCAUCUUCUCUUUAAACUCUCUCUAAAUUCACUCCAACUUCUUUCAAAGUUCAAACUCUCAAUUUUUUUUUUCCAUCUCACAUCAUCUUUCAACACCAACAACUUCUCUUAAAACCUUUUUCUAAAUUCACCCCAACCUCUUUCUUAACUCUCUGAUCACCAUUUCACACCAACAAUUUCUUUCACUUCAAUUUUCUCUCAUUUCUCCAUCACCAUUUCACUCCAACAACUUCAUUCUAAUUCAUAUAUAUUUUGAGUGUUCGUUGGCAUAUGAGUCAAUCCGCACGCUAUAUGGUCGUUGUCGUGGCUGAAAGAUUAUUUGGUAAAGAACGAAGUCAGACUCUACUUGGCAUACCAAAUCAUAGUUAUGGAUCGUAGCUGGAUGUACGAUAGAUAUUAUUUUGGAAGGACAAAUUAAAGAAAAUUUCAAACUCGGGGUUGAUCUAUUUAUCAAAACGGUAAAACGGAUGCGCGUUGUCAUAAGUGAAGGGGAAAUUAGAUGUCCGUAUGCGGUUUGUGAAUGUAGACGUAUUUGAAGCGAAGAUGAAAUUAAAUAUCACCUAUAUACUAAAUGAUUCAAACCCAUUUAUUGGAUUUGGUCAAGUCAUGGUGAAACAAUUUUGUCGGCCCCGACGUCGAGUGCUAAUAAUAUUGGUGUUGUGUAUCAAGGGGCUUCAAGCAACAAUGCGCCAAUAGUAGCUGCUCAAAAUUAUUAGCAUUACCCCUUCAGCGAGAUAAACAAUAUGAUAAGUGAUGCUCUUGAGAUUAAUGUCGUGAACAAUGGGUCGGAAGAUGAAUAUGAAGAUGAACUUCCGAAUAUUGAAGCCUAGAGAUUUUUUAAUCUUCUAAUCUUUCUAAUUUUUUUAUUACUUUAAUUUUUAAUUAAUUUUAUUAAUGAUUAUUUUUUAUCAUUAAUUAUAUAUUAAUUAUAUAUUAAUCGUUAAUAAUAUUUAUAUUAUUUUGCUUUAUGCACAGAUACGAUGCACUUGGUUGAAACAAUUUGAUAAGACGAUGAUUAAAAUAUUCAACAAGAAAUGUUCAAAGAGGAUGUCAACUUUGUUCUCUAAUGUGCGCUGAUCAAGAAAAAAGCCUGACGGGAUUAGUGCUAACUCUUGGCCUGAUUUGAUAAAGAAAUGGGACCAGACUUGGUUUCAGGAAAAAUGCAAAAAGGCGGCAUCAAAUAGAGCGUCUGAUAAUAGAGGAGGGAGCAUACACCGCGGUGGACAGACAUCUGGUGCUACCUUCCGUGUUCAAAUAUUUCAAGGAUCAUGGACAUGAACCAUGGACAAACAUCUUGGGAAGCUGGCAUAUGCUGAGUGGCGAGCUGAUUCAUGUCCACGAUCCAUGAAAUAUUGAGCACAGAAUGUAGCACCAGAUGUUUGUCUACCACUGUGGAUGUUCCCUCCUCAAUUAUCAGAUGCUCUAUUUGCCGCCACCUUUUUGCAUUUUUCCUGAUACCCGGUCUCGCCCCAUUUCUUUGACAAAUCAGGCCAAGAGUUAGCACGAAUCCUGUUAGGCUUUUUUCUUGAACAACGCACAUUAGACAACAAAGUUGACAUCCUCUUUGAACAUUUCUUGUUGAAUAUUUUAAUCAUCGCCUUAUCAAAUUGUUUCAACCAAGUGCAUCGUAUUUAUGCAUAAAGCAAAAUAAUAUAAAUAUUAUUAAUGAUUAAUAUAUAAUAUAUAAUUAAUGAUAAAAAUAAUCAUUAAUAAAGUUGUAUUUGAGCUAGAUUGUAAGAUUGUUGUGGAUAUGUGAACAAGACGAGUAUCAACCACUCGGAGUAUGAUUCAAUAUAUUAUUCAAAACUAUCGAACCUUA